rnacentral:lncRNA from 1 species
AUGAAGGCUGCCAAGGAGUUCACCCAGGCCAAACCCUCUGGAUCAUCUCUGACCUCUCCAUGCACCAUGUCUUCAGGGCCUGCCGCUUCCUCCUUCUCAGGUUAUUUCUCCUGUCUUCAGCUCGCCACAUCACCAAAAUGCCACCUUUUCUCAGCUCAGGCCCUGUUUCCCACUUCCCCAAAGGCCACGUGCUGCUGCCUUGGCAAAGGGAAGCUUGCAGAACAAACACAGUGUGUGAGCUCAUAUCCACGCAGCUGGCUGGGGGGACUAUCUGGCCUCUAUCUCCUCCCUUACCUCCCGGUGUUUGAUAUGCUCACCUGCUGCAUCUCAUCUCUCAGCCCUCGGUGGGAGGAACGGGAAUGUCAAUUACAGCAGCGGUGUUUGGCUUUCGGCAAAGGACGGUGUCUGACUGCUGUGCCAGCAAGGACUACAGGGACCAUCCUGUCACUACCUACCCAUCAGCCUACUUAAAACGAGCCUUACCAAAGCCCUUUAAUCCUACAUUUGCUUUCAUUUCCGACCUCUUUGCCAGCCAGGAGCACAUCCUGCGCAGGAGUCCUAGCGUUUCUCAGCGCUGCCGUGCCCAGCUUACAGAAGAGGAAACUGAGGCACGGUGCCCAGGAGCAUCCUGUCCCCACGCGAAACAUCUGGUCUGCAGCACAGCCAAGCCCGGCCUCCCAGCGCCGGGCUCCUGCAGUAUUCUUGCUGCCUUUCCACCUCGGCUAUAAGGAGGAAAGCAUCUGUGAUUUUCAGCUCAGCCAGUGCAAGUGCAGAAAUAGAUAGAAAUGCAGUUUGAUCUAGUCCUCGCCACUGUCCCGGAGUUUAUUUCGCUGAUUCUUUCUCAGCGGUUUGCAGCUCAGGGCCAAUUUUGGUCAUUGAUAGAUCGGAGGGCCAGGCCAGCUUCCCCAGCACACAGUCCCUGCGCUGCUGGCCAAACUGGCAGAGGCCAGAAAGUUCAAGUCAAACUUCAUUUCUUUCCUUGCCCCGUUGCUUAGUAACACGCCUAUGAAAAUAUACUUUGUUCUCACACACUACCAGUUGAAUGCCAAGAGCGUUUUUUCCCUCUCCCAUCCUCAGGAAUUCCUGAUUUAUUUUUUAUUUCUUUUUCUUUCUCUCUCCCUCUUUUUAUUUUUUUUUUUCAAUCGUGCAAAGCUCGGGAGAAGCCUGCUGGUCUGCUGCGGCUUCCUGCAGAAGCCUUCCCCAGCAGGGCUCAUCUCCCACCUGCAAACCAAACCCACUGAAAGGAGCCCCCUGCGGCGCUCAGGGAGUCCAAAUGGCAGCUGCAGGUGGUGCCGGGGGUUGCUUUCGCAACAAACCUGCAGCCUCUUCCCUAUUCCUCUCCUUGUUCGCUCCAAGGGUGCUCCCCAUCCCAAGCUAACCCAAAGCAGCGACGUUACGAGGGGACCAGCCAGAGUUUGCACGCAGAGCACCUGCUAAAGGACCAGGCUCCUUGGGCAGAGCGAGGCAGGCGGAAGGAAAGGGGACUCAACUGCCAGCCAAGACACAAAGCUUUUUGGGGUGCCCUCGGUUCACACCAGGCACCCUGCCUAGGGGUGCAAGGCUCAGCCCCACUCUCGUGGCUGCUGCUGCCUUUUGCCUGCAUGGUUUCCCCUCCUGGCUGCACCGCCUGCCUCCCGAACGCACACGCACACGCGCAGGGUAAAUAAACACGGCGGAUGACGCGCUCGGGGAUAUUUC